CACAAUCAUUGUCUACAAAUUCAUUUUUAUCAUAAAAUACCGACAUUGUUUCAUCAACUCUUAAGUUUUAGGUACCAGUAGUAUUCAUAACUGUAACUAACACUUCAAGGAGUAUUGUUCUUCUUUGCCUCAAAUCAAGAACGGCAGAAGAUUGAUCACAUCUUUUAUUUCUUAAUUGAAAUCUAUUGUAAUUAUAUAUUAUGCAUUAUAAAUGUAUGAUUUUGGCCCCCCAAAUGAUUCCUCUUCUCGCGCCUUUACCUAAAAUGGAGCAAAGUAUACUGAUACCCUUUCAUGCAUGAUUUCGUAUUACUUGGAAUACUCGGAAAACCAGUUACUUGUAGCUGAGAAUCUUGCUUUGAAAAUUAUUUUGUCAUUUUUUCAUGGAAAAAAUUCUUUGAAACAAAUUUCCUGCGUUGCAUAUUACAUAGAAUCACUAUUCAAGGAAAAGGUUGGUGACCUUCAUGUCCGGAAAAAGUUAGUAUGAUAUGACCAAAAUGAUGGUAUAAAAUAAACACCAUACCCUUUUUAUUUUCAUUUGUUUUUUCUCUCGCUUGAGAUAAUAUCAACGAAGCAGAAGUGGAGAUUGUGCGAUAAA